CCCUUAGAUGUUCUGGGCCGCACGCGUGCUACACUGAGUGGAUCAGCGGGUCAGGUUGCGCGAAAGCGUUUCCUAAUCUUUAAAUCCGCUCGUGAUGGGGAUUGACGGUUGCAAUUUUCUGUCAUGAACGAGGAAUACCUUGUAAGCGCGGGUCAUCAUCCCGCGCUGAAUACGUCCCUGCCCUUUGUACACACCGCCCGUCGCUCCUACCGAUUGAGUGGUCCGGUGAGGCUUUGGGAUCUGAGCGGAAAGAGCGUUUCGCUGUUUCUGCUCGUAAAACUCAGUCGAACCUUAUCAUUUAGAGGAAGGAGAAGUCGUAACA
rnacentral:rRNA from 1 species